UACGUAGGAGGCAAGCGUUAUCCGAAUUUACUGGGCGUAAAGAGAGCGCGGGCGACCCUACAAGUCGAAUAUUAAAGCUCCCGGCUUAACUGGGAGAUACUAUGCGAUACUGUAGGGAUUGAGGACAGCAAGGGGAGACGGAAUUCCCGGUGUAGUGGUGAAAUACGUAGAUAUCGGGAGGAACACCAGUAGCGAAAGCGGUCUCCUGGGCUGUUUCUGACGCUGAGGCUCGAAAGCGUGGGGAGCAAACAGGAUUAGAUACCCCAGUA
rnacentral:rRNA from 1 species